UCAUCAUUGGGCCUAUGGAUACUUAUUCCUGAGGACGGAGUCACCUCUCUGUAGAAGAACCCAGGUUCCCCUCUUCCAAGAUGGUGCCCCUUACCAGUGAAAUGAGGCCUGUGAUGGGUGGUCCGGAAGACAGAUCCAGAGCAUGUCCUGAGAGCCCUCUACCCACCCGAUAUCUUCAUCCUGCCCACCUUUCAUGAACUGGAAUCUGAAGGUUUGGCUGGGAUCUUCAGCAGCUGCCCCAGGGACUCCCCACGAUCCCAAGUGCGUGCUGGAAGCAGGCUGCAAUGGAUCUCGGAGCUUCCAAGCAGCCAGAGCUAAGAGGGAGAUAAGACAGCGGGGAUGCCUGCCGUUGAGACCUGCAGGAGUUUCCCCCAAAAGUCCUCAGAAAGAUGCAGUGUGACUCAGAGUUAGAAAGGAACAAAUAAAUGCCUGUUCCAUAGUGGUUUGGUUACACAAAUGACUGCAUUUGUCAAAGCUCACCGAAGAGUGCACUUAAGAUUUGUGCAUUUUACUCAGCAAACUUUACCUGAAAAAGAAAAGAACUAUAAACAAAUGUAGUUAAUGAUAUGCCUGCUGAAGUGUUUAGGGGUGAACGGACAUCGCAGCUUACUUUGAAAUGCAUCAAAAAAAAGUCAGAUGAAUUGCUGGGUGGAAGGAAGACUAGAGGGACUGACAUGCAAUGAAGCACGUGUAGUAAAACGGUGGUGGGCAUGAAGUGUGGGCUGUACAAUUCUUUCAACUUUCUGUGUUUGAACAUUUUCUUAAUA